rnacentral:rRNA from 1 species
UACGGAGGGUGCAAGCGUUAUCCGGAUUCACUGGGUUUAAAGGGCGCGUAGGCGGCAAUUCAAGUCAGCUGUGAAAUCUCCGGGCUUAACUCGGAACGGUCAGCUGAUACUGCUUUGCUAGAGUGCAGAAGGGGCAAUCGGAAUUCUUGGUGUAGCGGUGAAAUGCGUAGAUAUCAAGAGGAACACCUGAGGUGAAGACGGGUUGCUGGGCUGACACUGACGCUGAGGCGCGAAAGCUAGGGUAGCAAACGGG